rnacentral:rRNA from 1 species
AACGAACGCUGGCGGCAUGCCUAACACAUGCAAGUCGAACGAGACCUUCGGGUCUAGUUGCGCACGUGUGCGUAACGCGUGGUAACCUGCCCUUAGGUUCGGAAUAACUCCCCGAAAGGGGUGCUAAUACCGGAUAAUGUCUUCGGACCAAAGAUUUAUCGCCUUUGGAUGGGCCCGCGUUGGAUUAGCUAGUUGGUAGGGUAAAAGCCUACCAAGGCGACGAUCCGUAGCUGGUCUGAGAGGGUGAUCAGCCACACUGGGGCUGGGACACGGCCCAGACUCCUACGGGAGGAAGGAGUGGGGAAUAUUGGACGAUGGGCGAAAGCCUGAUCCAGCAAUGCGGGGUGAGUGAUGAAGGCCUGAGGGUUGUAAAGCUCUUUUACCAGGGAUGAUAAUGACAGUACCGGGAGAAUAAGCUCCGGCUAACUACGUG